rnacentral:rRNA from 1 species
UAACCUGCCCAAGAGAUCGGGAUAACACCUGGAAACAGAUGCUAAUACCGGAUAACAACAGAUGAUGCCUAUCAACUGUUUAAAAGAUGGUUCUGCUAUCACUNUUGGAUGGACCUGCGGUGCAUUAGCUAGUUGGUAGGGUAACGGCCUACCAAGGCGAUGAUGCAUAGCCGAGUUGAGAGACUGAUCGGCCACAUUGGGACUGAGACACGGCCCAAACUCCUACGGGAGGCAGCAGAC